UGGGGAAUUUUCCGCAAUGGGCGAAAGCCUGACGGAGCAAUGCCGCGUGGAGGUGGAAGGCCUACGGGUCGUCAACUUCUUUUCUCGGAGAAGAAACAAUGGCGGUAUCUGAGGAAUAAGCAUCGGCUAACUCUGUGCCAG
rnacentral:rRNA from 1 species